GCCGGGUGCGGUGGUGCGUGCCUGCAGUCCCAGCUACUCGGGAGGCUGAGGUGGGAGAAUCUCUUGAGCCCAGGAGUUCUGGGCUGUGGUGCACUAUGCUGAUCCGGUGUCUGCACUAAGUUCGGCAUCAAUAUGGUGACCUCCAGGGAGCAGGGACCACCAGGUUGCCUAAGGAGGCGUGAACCGGCCCAGGUCGGAAACGGAGCAGGUCAAAACUCCCAUGCUGAUCAGUAGUGGGAUCGCGCCUGUGAAUAACCACUGCACUCCAGCCUGGGCAACAUAGCAAGACCCCGUUCCUA
rnacentral:SRP_RNA from 1 species